rnacentral:lncRNA from 1 species
GUACAUAUACUCUCAAUAUAGUUUGUCUAGUCAUUCUCAUGCUGUGGGAGGCCACCAAGCCUUGUGACCUUUCCUGAUCGGUUGAGGCUUUGCUGGUCACUUCCUGUGAUCUGACCACAUCAAAGUGGCCAUAGAUGGUGGUCCAGUCUUGUGAGUCGUAAAAAUGUCGCUAAAUGUAUCUUCAUGCUUAGGUGUGCCUUCCUGCAGCCCCAUGGGUCGAGCUACGCUCACCUGUUCCUUUGUGAUAUUACCCCUUUGCCAUGUUUGGGACAGAAUGUUCCAUGGAAACGCCCUUUGUAUGUCCCUUUCUCUUGCUCUCCCUUUGGGUGUGGCCUUCCUAGAUGUCAGCCUCCUGCCAGCAGACAUCAUGAAGCUAGACUCAGCCCCUUGAAACCUGACCCCUUGCCUCACUUGAAUGACUUCUCCUUAAUAAAAGGGGUCAGCAUGCGCUGGCGCUUGCUCUCUCUUUCUGUGGACCCUUAAGGUCAGAGGAUCCAUCACAAGACCCCCAAAAAGAAAAAGGUAUCUCUGUCUCUUUGUGGUUAUAUCAUGCAGCCCAUUUCCCCUGGAGUGAC